AUUGAACGCUGGCGGCAUGCCUUACACAUGCAAGUCGAACGGUAACAGGUCUUCGGAUGCUGACGAGUGGCGAACGGGUGAGUAAUACAUCGGAACGUGCCUAGUCGUGGGGGAUAACUACUCGAAAGAGUGGCUAAUACCGCAUGAGAUCUACGGAUGAAAGCAGGGGAACGCAAGACCUUGAUGUACCUGAGCGGCCGAUGGCAGAUUAGGUAGUUGGUGGGAUAAAAGCUUACCAAGCCGACGAUCUGUAGCUGGUCUGAGAGGACGAUCAGCCACACUGGGACUGAGACACGGCCCAGACUCCUACGGGAGGCAGCAGUGGGGAAUUUUGGACAAUGGGCGAAAGCCUGAUCCAGCAAUGCCGCGUGCAGGAUGAAGGCCUUCGGGUUGUAAACUGCUUUUGUACGGAACGAAAAGCCCCGGGUUAAUACCCUGGGGUCAUGACGGUACCGUAAGAAUAAGCACCGGCUAACUACGUGCCAGCCGCCGCCGUAA
rnacentral:rRNA from 1 species